rnacentral:rRNA from 1 species
UACAGAGGUCCCAAGCGUUGUUCGGAUUCAUUGGGCGUAAAGGGUGCGUAGGUGGCAUGGUAAGUCGGGUGUGAAAUCCCGGGGCUCAACCCCGGAACUGCACUCGAUACUGCCGUGCUCGAGUACUGGAGAGGAGACUGGAAUUUACGGUGUAGCAGUGAAAUUCGUAGAUAUUCGCAAGAACACCAGUGGCGAAGGCGGCUCACUGGCCCGAUACUGACGCUGAGGCACGAAAGCGUGGGGAGCAAACAGGG